UGGGGAAUAUUGGACAAUGGGCGCAAGCCUGAUCCAGCCAUGCCGCGUGAGUGAUGAAGGCCCUAGGGUUGUAAAGCUCUUUCACCGGUGAAGAUAAUGACGGUAACCGGAGAAGAAGCCCCGGCUAACUUCGUGCCAGCAGCCGCGGUAAUACGAAGGGGGCUAGCGUUGUUCGGAUUUACUGGGCGUAAAGCGCACGUAGGCGGACUUUUAAGUCAGGGGUGAAAUCCCGGGGCUCAACCCCGGAACUGCCUUUGAUACUGGAAGUCUUGAGUAUGGUAGAGGUGAGUGGAAUUCCGAGUGUAGAGGUGAAAUUCGUAGAUAUUCGGAGGAACACCGGUGGCGAAGGCGGCUCACUGGACUAUUACUGACGCUGAGGUGCGAAAGCGGGGGGAGCAAACAGG
rnacentral:rRNA from 1 species